rnacentral:rRNA from 1 species
AGAGUUUGAUCCUGGCUCAGGACGAACGCUGGCGGCGUGCUUAACACAUGCAAGUCGAGCGGAAAGGCCCUUCGGGGUACUCGAGCGGCGAACGGGUGAGUAACACGUGAGCAACCUGCCCCUGGCUCUGGGAUAGCCUCCGGAAACGGGGAUUAAUACCGGACAUUCACUCUCUUCCGCAUGGUUGAGGGUGGAAAGUUUUUUCGGCCGGGGAGGGGCUCGCGGCCUAUCAGCUUGUUGGCGGGGUAACGGCCCACCAAGGCGACGACGGGUAGCCGGCCUGAGAGGGCGACCGGCCACACUGGGACUGAGACACGGCCCAGACUCCUACGGGAGGCAGCAGUGGGGAAUAUUGCGCAAUGGGCGGAAGCCUGACGCAGCGACGCCGCGUGGGGGAUGAAGGCCUUCGGGUUGUAAA